GUUAACGGCUGGCGGCGUGCCUAACACAUGCAAGUCGAACGGUUCUAAGCGCGAGCUUAGGAUAGUGGCGAACGGGUGAGUAAAAGGUAGGAAUCUACCCCUUGGACGGAGAUAGCUACUGGAAACGGUAGGUAAACUUCGAUAAGCCCGAGAGGGGAAAGUGGUGAGACAGCCGAGGGAUGAGCCUACUCUCCAUCAGGUAGUUGGUGAGAUAAAAGCUUACCAAGCCGAUGACGGAUAACCGGUGUGAGAGCAUGAACGGUCACAAGGGCACUGAGAGACGGGCCCUACUCCUACGGGAGGCAGCAGUGGGGAAUCUUGGACAAUGGGCGAAAGCCUGAUCCAGCGACGCCGCGUGGAGGAAGAAGUCCUUCGGGAUGUAAACUUCUGAACUAGCCGAAUAAAAGGCCUGUGGACACACAGGAGAAGAAAGUAGGCUAGGAAAAGUCCCGGCUAACUACGUG
rnacentral:rRNA from 1 species